rfam:Bombyx mori DNA, contig: Bm_scaf50_contig26520, strain: p50T/Dazao, build 2, whole genome shotgun sequence.
UUAUCUCAAAUUUGUAUGGAGUUGGAACGUUUGCCUACGUUUGCCGCUAGGGGCGCUGUUACAAUACCAUACAAAUUUGUGUUA